rnacentral:rRNA from 1 species
UGGGGAAUAUUGCACAAUGGGCGCAAGCCUGAUGCAGCCAUGCCGCGUGUGUGAAGAAGGCCUUCGGGUUGUAAAGCACUUUCAGCGAGGAGGAAGGUGGUGAGCUUAAUACGCUCAUCAAUUGACGUUACUCGCAGAAGAAGCACCGGCUAACUCCGUGCCAGCAGCCGCGGUAAUACGGAGGGUGCAAGCGUUAAUCGGAAUUACUGGGCGUAAAGCGCACGCAGGCGGUUUGUUAAGUCAGAUGUGAAAUCCCCGGGCUCAACCUGGGAACUGCAUUUGAAACUGGCAAGCUAGAGUCUCGUAGAGGGGGGUAGAAUUCCAGGUGUAGCGGUGAAAUGCGUAGAGAUCUGGAGGAAUACCGGUGGCGAAGGCGGCCCCCCUGGACGAAGACUGACGCUCAGGUGCGAAAGCGUGGGGCAGCAAACAGGAUUAGAUACCCUGGUAGUCCAGCGCUGUAAAACGAUGUCGACUUUGGAGGUUGUGCCCCUUGAGGCGUGGCUUCCGGAGCUAACGCGUUAAAUCGACCGCCUGGGGAGUACGGCCGCAAGGUUAAAACUCAAAUGAAUUGACGGGGUCAUAGCUGUUUCCU